rnacentral:lncRNA from 1 species
UGAAACUGAGCAUUGAUGGCGGGUUGGUCUCGACCUACUUCUCCUAUGUCUACAAGAAUAAAAUUAAGAGGAAAAGAUCAAAUGCAAGGGGUAUAGAUAGAUGAUUUAAAUAAGGAACUUGGAUUGGAUACAAGGGUAUCGACCAAGAAAUAAAGUAAAUGCAAGGAUUGAAAAAGGCAAACCGAUUUGAUUCAAAAACGAAAGUUGAUAUAUAUAUAUAUAUAUUUUUUUUUUUUUAAUUCGAAAACUUGGAAAG